UCCUCCCCCAAAUAGCAAAURGUACSAAGGGCCACRUGAGGAUUMCACUGUSUCUUUUAGUUGCUCAAUGAACUUGAUCUUUCAGUACAAAAGCUGAAAUAUUCCCAUAAGACGAGAAGACCCUGUGGAGCUUAAGCUAAAACACUACUAUUAUAUAGUGCCUCCCUUUAGUUGGGGCGACUACGGAACAAAACACAACUUCCCUGCCACACAAUUAACCCCGCAACGACACACAUGUCACUGCACCCCUACCACGACCCAGUACUACUGACUAACGAACCAAGUUACCCCAGGGAUAACAGCGCCAUCCUCUUCUAGAGCCCCUAUCGCCAAGAGGGUUUACGACCUCGAUGUUGGAUCAGGACCUCCUGGUGGUGCAGCCGCUACCAAGGGUUCGUUUGUUCAACGAUUAAUGUC
rnacentral:rRNA from 1 species